GUCCUUGUUCUAUACCCGUAGUAUCCCUGGUAAAUCCUUUUGUUUUCACUUGGUCAGAAUGUUUAUGAUUAGGAACGAUGUGCACUGCUCAAUGACUCUGGGUCGACUGUCCUCUUUUAUGCUCUGCUAGCUUAAUUUAUGGGGGAUUCAUUUGCGGCCGAACAAUCGUGAGAGUUCACGAGCACUGCGUGGCCCGCCUCUCUCUCUUCCGACCUUCGUAGAUGCGAUCACCCAAAAAAAUAUAACCUAUUUUCUGUGCGAUCUCUCUGCUCCUCGUAGCUCCGAAAUAUGUACCCUGUCUGCCCUGUGGGCCCUGAGAACCUCGUGUGUGCUCACUACCGCAUGCCUCUCACUGGCACGUAUAAGUGCCUUGAAAACUGGGCAUUUUCCCGUACAGUGUGUAAACCGGAAACAACAAAAC
rnacentral:lncRNA from 1 species